ensembl:lncRNA
UUUUUUUCUUUUUUUUGAGGAGCUAUGGGACUCCAGGUGGCAUUCAAUCAAGAAUAUCUAGAAGUAUGUCACUGAAUAAAGGAUAGGUGUCUUUAUGAGGCUGGGAGAACCAUCGUGUUUGUUGGGGAGGGGGUGGCGGUGAGUGGGAAGGGGCUAAGAAGGUGGGUCCUCCUGGAGCCAGACUAUAAGAUACUAUCCUGACAUUUGCAGUUCCUAGCUGUGUGGCCUUAGGCUGGAAGCUAAAUCUUUCUCUGCCUCAGUUUCCAUAAUGUCAAGUGGAGAUUUAAAAUUGGCAUCUACCUUGGAGGGUUGUUAUGAGUUUGAAAUGAGUUAAAACAUAUAUGAUGCUUUGGACCAUCCCUGGCACAUAAAACAUAUUAGCAACUCUUUUCCUCAUUACAGUUAUUGGUAUGAUUUUGUCUCCUUUCUUUCUUGUCUUGGAAUCAUGCCCGUGAAAGGGGACAUUGUCUAGGAGAGGAUGCCUCCCUUUAGACCUGCAUGACAGCAGGUGCCACAGCGCAUGGGGAGGUGAGGACACGAAUGGUUGCAAAUUGUUCUGUGAAAGGGCCGUAUAUGCAAAGCAGCCCCCACAUGCCAAAUAAGAUGGAAAAAAAAGAACGAGGCAGACAAAUACAGUUUGUCUGUAAAGGAUAUUUGGGAAACUUAGAGAUGGAAGCAUGUUCUUGGGCAGCUGCAAGACAGGUAGAUCUCUGCACCUGUUACCACUAGACCCAGGGCUGAUAUGUCAUAGGGAAAGGGUAUAAGUACUCUAUGUAAGACAAUUAAAGGCAGAUUUAAUUGAACAGGUUCUCACCAGAACAGGUGAGAAUGUUGUAUGUGUCAUAACCUAUAAUUUGUGUGAAAACAUCAAGGUUGGCAUGUUCUUGCACUAAGGAAAGUAAAUAAAGUAGGAAUCAGGAGGCAUUGUCAGGACUGGGGCUAAUCGAAGUCACCGUGGCAGAUCGGCAUCCAAGUUGGAGUCACAUUUGUCACCACACAAAUUCAUUUUCCCCAAUCCUUUUUCUGUUGGGAAAAGCUGAAUAUUUCCCCUCUUAUGUCGCUUAUUUUUUUCUAUAUCUUUUGUGUUGUGGUAGACACAGAGAUGGGCCAUCCAAAUCCUUCUUUAAACAAGGACUUGUCACCCCAGCUGUAAGAACAUGCCCUUCAGUUAUCACUUUUGAGUUGCAAGGAACCAUCUCACCCAAGGUUAUGCCCUUCCGGGGACAUCCCAUAUUUAAUGACUGAUCACAGCUCUAGUAUUAAGAAGUGGCCAUUUUGCUCAAAUAUAGAACACUCUGAGGGUCCAUAUACUUUUCAGUGACCCCCUCAUAUUGCCAGAGACUUUCUUGGCCUGCAUUGCAGUUUGACAUGCCCCUCUGCCCAGUCCUGCCACUUCAGCCCCACUCCCAGAGAGGCUGAUUCCUAAUACAUACUCUGCAUGCAAACUCCAUCUCUGCACCUGAAUCUGGAGAACUCACCCUGUGAAAAUUGACUUCCAAAGGCUAUUAUUAAUUUAGAAAAUGUUUGGAAGCCACUGACAAAAUAUAAAAAUUUGGAAAAUUAUUUGAUCUCUUAUCGUCUCAAUAAAAUGAGGGCAAUUAUCUCUAAUUUGCAAGGUUGUUGUAUUAGAAGUAGUAAUGUGCCAAGCCUGUGACAGUGAUCUCUGUAAGAGUUAAUUUGCGACUCCCUCCACUUUGCCUCGUUUUCUUCAAUUUUCUUUUUCCUCUUCCCUUUCUAACUUGGUCAUAAUUUUAUUUUAUUUCAGUUUCUUUUUCUCUUCCUUUCCUAUCUCUCCAUUUGUUACCUUCUUUUAGUUUUACUUUAGUGCUUUAAUCAAUGUUAUUGAGGUAUAAUUUACAUACAAUAAAUGCAUACAUUUUACUGUGCAGGCAACAACUUUUGAAAAAUGUGUACACAUAUGGAUCCACCACCACAAUCAAAAUAUAGAACAUUUCCAUCACCACAAAAGGUAGUCUUGUACCUCUUCCCAUUCAAUCUCCAACUGCAAACAUAGCAUAGGUAACUAUUGAUCUGCUUUUUAUCACCAUAGAUUAAAUUUGUCUUUUAGAGUUUCAUAUGAAUGUAAUCCUACAGUAGGUACUCUUUUCUGCCUGGCUUUUUCUCUCAACAUAAUGUUUCUGAGAUUAUUCAGGUUGUUGUGUGCACCAGCAGUUUGUUCUUUUUAAUUGCUGCACAGUUUUCUAUUGUAUGAAU